GACGAACGCUGGCGGCGUGCUUAACACAUGCAAGUCGAACGAAGAGCGAUGGAAGCUUGCUUCUAUCAAUCUUAGUGGCGAACGGGUGAGUAACGCGUAAUCAACCUGCCCUUCAGAGGGGGACAACAGUUGGAAACGACUGCUAAUACCGCAUACGAUCUAAUCUCGGCAUCGAGGAUAGAUGAAAGGUGGCCUCUACAUGUAAGCUAUCACUGAAGGAGGGGAUUGCGUCUGAUUAGCUAGUUGGAGGGGUAACGGCCCACCAAGGCGAUGAUCAGUAGCCGGUCUGAGAGGAUGAACGGCCACAUUGGGACUGAGACACGGCCCAGACUCCUACGGGAGGCAGCAGUGGGGAAUCUUCCGCAAUGGACGAAAGUCUGACGGAGCAACGCCGCGGGAGCGAUGACGGCCUUCGGGUUGUAAAGCUCUGUUAAUCGGGACGAAAGGCCUUCUUGCGAAUAGUGAGAAGGAUUGACGGUACCGGAAUAGAAAGCCACGGCUAACUACGUG
rnacentral:rRNA from 1 species